rnacentral:rRNA from 1 species
UACAGAGGUGGCAAGCGUUGUUCGGAAUUACUGGGCGUAAAGGGCGCGUAGGUGGCCUUCUUAGUCAGACGUGAAAUCCCCAGGCUUAACCUGGGAACUGCGUCUGAUACUGGAAGGCUUGAGUUCGGGAGAGGAAUGUGGAAUUCCAGGUGUAGCGGUGAAAUGCGUAGAUAUCUGGAGGAACACCGGUGGCGAAGGCGGCAUCCUGGACCGGCAUUGACGCUGAAUAGCGAAAGCCAGGGGAGCAAACGGG